UUAGGGUUUAGGAUUUGGUUAGGAUUUGAUUUAGGAUUUGAAUUAGGGUUUGGAUUAGGAUUUGGUUAGGGUUUGAUUUAAGGUUUGGUUUAGGAUUUAGGAUUUAGAUUAGAGUUUAGGGUUGGAUUAGGGUUUAGAUUAGGGUUUAGGAUUUAGUUAGAGUUUGAUUUAGGAUUUGGAUUAGGGUUUGGUUAGGAUUUGAUUUAAAGUUUGGUUUAGGGUUUAGGGUUGGAUUAGGGUUUGGUUUAGGGUUUGAUUUAGAGUUUGGUUUAGGGUUUAGGGUUUAGGGUUUGGAAUAGGAUUUAAUUUAAGAUUUAUUUAGGAUUUGACUUAGGAUUUAGGAAUUAUUAGGGUUUAAGAUUUAAUUAAGUUUGGUCUAAAGUUGAGUGAAAUUCAAUAGGAUUUUAACUAGAAUUAAAUUAAGGUUGAAUUGACAUAUAUUUGAGUAAAAUUUGUGAUCAUUCUAAUAUUUCUUUAAGAAUUUUAUUGUUUGUUUGAAAUUUCUUUGAGUUUUUUUGAAUUGAAUUAUGUUUGUUUACCAUUAUUAUAAUCUAAUUAGAGCAUCGUUAGUAUUCUAUUUAGGAUUUUGUUAUUGCAAUUUCUAUUCUUCCUUCUAUAGCUAGGUGCUCGGAGCAUUCUCAAGCAAGACUUCACACAUUAUGACAACGGUUGCAAUAAUAAAGUAGUAAUGACUGCUUCCUUCAACCUAUCAAAGA
rnacentral:lncRNA from 1 species